rnacentral:rRNA from 1 species
CCUACGGGGGGCAGCAGUGGGGAAUAUUGCACAAUGGGCGCAAGCCUGAUGCAGCCAUGCCGCGUGUGUGAAGAAGGCCUUCGGGUUGUAAAGCACUUUCAGCGGGGCGGACGGCGUUAAGGUUAAUAACCUUGGCGAUUGAAGUUACCCGCAGCAGAAGCACCGGCUAACUCCGUGCCAGCAGCCGCGGUAAUACGGAGGGUGCAAGCGUGAAUCGGAAUUACUGGGCGUAAAGCGCACGCAGGCGGUCUGUCAAGUCGGAUGUGAAAUCCCCGGGCUCAACCUGGGAACUGCAUUCGAAACUGGCAGGCUAGAGUCUUGUAGAGGGGGGUAGAAUUCCAGGUGCAGCGGUGAAAUGCGUAGAGACCUGGAGGAAUACCGGUGGCGAAGGCGGCCCCCUGGACAAAGACUGACGCUCAGGUGCGAAAGCGUGGGGAGCAAACCGGAUUAGAUACCCUGGUAGUC